UUACGGCUAUAUCACAUUCAAACCCUGAUUCUAGUACGAUCACCGAAGUUAAGCAACGUCGAGUCUGGUCAGUACCUAGAUGGGUGACCGCUUGGGAAUUCCAGGUGCUGUAA